rfam:Schistosoma mattheei strain Denwood, Zambia genome assembly, scaffold: SMTD_scaffold0005102
ACCCAGCUGUCGAGUCCCAAAUACGACGAAACAUGUGUUCUGGAU